AGUGAACGCUGGCGGUAGGCCUAACACAUGCAAGUCGAACGGCAGCACAGGAGAGCUUGCUCUCUAGGUGGCGAGUGGCGGACGGGUGAGGAAUACAUCGGAAUCUGCCCAGUCGUGGGGGAUAACGUAGGGAAACUUACGCUAAUACCGCAUACGACCUUCGGGUGAAAGAGGGGGAUCGCAAGACCUCUCGCGAUUGGAUGAGCCGAUGUCGGAUUAGCUAGUUAGCGCGGUAAUGGCCCACCAAGGCGACGAUCCGUAGCUGGUCUGAGAGGAUGAUCAGCCACACUGGAACUGAGACACGGUCCAGACUCCUACGGGAGGCAGCAGUGGGGAAUAUUGGACAAUGGGCGCAAGCCUGAUCCAGCCAUACCGCGUGGGUGAAGAAGGCCUUCGGGUUGUAAAGCCCUUUUGUUGGGAAAGAAAUCUUUCAGGCUAAUACCCUGGGAGGAUGACGGUACCCAAAGAAUAAGCACCGGCUAACUUCGUG
rnacentral:rRNA from 1 species